CCUACGGGGGGCAGCAGUGAGGAAUAUUGGUCAAUGGACGAGAGUCUGAACCAGCCAAGUAGCGUGAAGGAUGACUGCCCUAUGGGUUGUAAACUUCUUUUAUAUGGGAAUAAAAUGUUCCACGUGUGGGAUUUUGUAUGUACCAUAUGAAUAAGGAUCGGCUAACUCCGUGCCAGCAGCCGCGGUAAUACGGAGGAUCCGAGCGUUAUCCGGAUUUAUUGGGUGUAAAGGGAUCGUAGGUGGAUUGUUAAGUCAGUUGUGAAAGUUUGCGGCUCAACCGUAAAAUUGCAGUUGAAACUGGCAGUCUUGAGUACAGUAGAGGUGGGCGGAAUUCGUGGUGUAGCGGUGAAAUGCUUAGAUAUCACGAAGAACUCCGAUUGCGAAGGCAGUUCACUGGACUGCAACUGACACUGAGGCUCGAAAGUGUGGGUAUCAAACAGGAUUAGAUACCCCUGUAGUC
rnacentral:rRNA from 1 species